GUCAUCAAAAAGGGUACUAAUGAUGAUAUUACUUAACAGCCAAUAAUGCACAAAUAACAAACAUCUCUGAAGAAAGUUAAUUUUGAUAUUAGCAGAUGCUGCUACAGUUUCUAAUGGUCGUGGGUUUAUAAAAAUUAAAAAAAAAAAAAAUCAACACGAAUUAAAAACACAGUGCCAUAAGUGACACACUACCAACCUUGGUCAUGCCAAUACCACCAUCAAUGAUGGGCAAUGUGUUGUAAGUUUUGUCAGGAACAAUGCGGAGGAAGAGCUCAAGUUGAACAUCAAGCUUGCUCGCCUGUCAAGCUCUCCAAUCUGAUUUUGUCCAAAGCCUGGAACAAAGAGGGGGAAAAAUAAGAACUACCAACAAUUCAUUAGAAAUAAAAGCUUCAGCAAAACCCUGUUUAGUCAAUUCCCAAAUGUAAGCGCAGGACCACUCCUCUUGACAUGAGCCUGAUCCGAAUUUGAAUUAGAAUUAAAUUAAAAUUAGUCGGAUCAAUAUUAAAUUAAAAUCAAAUUGAAAAAUGAUCAAAGUUUAAUUUGAUCAAAAUUAUCUUCAAUUGAUUAUACUGAUUUUAACUUAUUUUAAUCAGUUCUGAAUCAAAAUUAAAAUUUUCACUUUUUCAAGAGAAAAAUAAAACUUUAACCGUCAACUUUGAUCAAAAUAAAUUGAACUGAAUAAAUCAAAUUGAAUCAAAUUAAAUUGAAUUCAAAAGGAACCAUUUAAUCCAGUCCAAAGCUAACUAUAACAUUAAACCUACCAGCUCCAACUUUCAAUGUGACACAACUCAUUCAAAACUUUGCCAAGAGAAGCUUAGGAGUCAGACAUGGUUGCUUUAUCAGGAGGCCAUUCUCUUGGUUUUUCACAUUGUUCCUCAUUUGAAGCUGGGCUUCGCAACUUCAGUUCAGUCCAUGAAGUUGAUCCAAAGCAUGAACAUUGAGUUCACAGAGAAGCUAAGAAAGAAAUUCCCAAGCCAAACAAGGAUCAUAAUGCAGGAAAGUUCCUAGACUCGACCUCUGCACUAUUACAUGCAACUCAUGGAAGGGAAAAUGUUUUUGGAUCAGAUCAAGCACUGUUUGCUGAUUACAGAUUGUAGGACAAAAUGGAUUGUUGAAUUCGUUUGCAAAGGAUCAAAGUUUGUUGUUCCUUGGAGAAUUUGUGGCUUCAAUGUUGAAAUUGAAACUUGGAAAUUUUGGGGUAAUUGAAAAUGGAGAAGCCAGACAUAAAGUGGCUAAUUGAGACAAAGUGACUCAGUGAGUGCAGUCCGAAGGCAAUUUUUUUUUUCUUCUUUUGUUAAGUUCUUCCCCCCCUUCUCUGAUUAGAAAUGAUGUGAGGCUGAUCAUGUUAAGAGUUCUCCAUGUCUCAAUAAAUUGCUAUCAUUUCCAUUGCUUGCUAAAAUUCUCUCCCCUUUUCUUUUCAGGUCAGUUGGUCAAAUAUAGGCUGGUAGAUAUAUUAUUCUCUUUAUGGAAGUUGAACUGCUUUAUUGUGUUUUUAUGCAAUAUUAGAAGAGGAAUAUCGACAAUCAUUGAUAAAUUAAUGCCUCUCAUGAAUAUUUCAUUGCUUCCUGUGUUUAACAGGGCAGUUGAAGGUGGAAAGCUUCUCUAUAUGAUUGGGUUUUUCGGUAACGGGAAAGGCAUUAUUAAUUCUUAAAAGGUCCUUCCAAACUAAAAUUAUUCCAAAGAAGGAAAUAUAAGCAUUUUGCUAUGAUCAAAACUCAAAAGCUGUAAUCACUAUUGGCACAACAAAAGUACAAACAAUUUCUAGUUGAAAAACACCUUUAUUCGACUGUGUAAAUUAAGAAAAUUUGGCCACGAUGAUGAUCAAGUUAAUUGUCAGUGUGAGGUAAUCAGUAUUCACUGUUGAUGCAUAAAAGAGCAGGACAAAAUAACACAAUAUGGCGCAUGUGGAAGAAAUCACACAGGCAGCAGAAUUUUUUUGAGCAUGCUUUUGAACUAAGAAUGUUGCAGUGUGAGGAUGUGUGAAGCUAUCCACCUUGUGUCUCAAGUGCCCAAUCCAGUUUAACAAAGCCAGCAAAGAAGAUGCAUUGCAGAACAAGAGAUUCAGAAAGAAAGCAAAGAAACAGAGCUAAAGUAAAAAAAAAACUUACAGAUUUUGCUUCAUUUAAAAGAGGCAGCCACUCUUUAAGCAAAAACUACAUCUGAACGGAACACAUAUUUGACACCUUUGGUAACAUUCCGGGCUUCAUGCAGCAUACACUUGUCCCCAUGAAUGUGUAAUAGAGCCAUCCCUUCAGUUGGAGCCACUUCAGCGACAACACCAUUCCUUGAACCAUAGAAGACGGUUUCUCCUCCAACUAGAGGCUCUGAGGAAGAAUCCUUUGAGCCAUUUGGAUCAUUUUUAGUUUUGGCUUUAGAAUCGCCACUUAAAUAUAUUAGCAGUGUAUAAUGGGUACGCUUCCCAUCCCCAAGAUCAACACUUUCAUCAAUAUGCCGUCCAAAACGCUGGCCUGCCUUGUAUCUAUAGAAUCUGAUAUUUGGAUUUAAACCAACAGCAACCUUUCCCCUGAUUUUAAUAUCAGAAAACAAUUUGUUAAGUCCAGACUCCCAUACUGUAUUUGCAAGAACGGGAUCAUUUGCAGAUGUUCUAUCAUUAUCUCUAUAAGCUUCUCCUUUAGUUGGACCAAGACUCCCCUGGUGAACAAAUCCAAUAGAUUCUGCAGCUUUGAUAAAAGCCUUCGAUUCACCAGCUGUGAAAAAACGCUGCACAGUGAAAAGAUCGGUAUCUUUGAGAUGAUUAAUCUGGAGAUUUUUCUUGGGUUUGAUAAGAGGCCACUUCUUAGAUUUGCCACUAUCUGCCUCUCUUCUCUCUCCCAUCUUUCUCUUCUUGGUAUUUGUUCCUUCC
rnacentral:misc_RNA from 1 species